AAACAUCUCCAUUGGAUUGCUCUAAACCAUCACAAUUCCCUUGUUUGGUUCGUCCUCGGCUGGAGGUCCAUGUCAUGUGUUUUUCACUUUUUCUGCAUAGAAAUCAAAUCAACCGUUGAAUGCUCAUUAAUCGAAGGAUAGAAGAAGACUGAAUGAACGUUGUAGAAGGCUUAACUUUAAUUGGAAUUGAUAGCUCGGUCUUCAAGGCAUUGAUAGUGGGUGUGUUGGACACAGAGUUUCACUGUUGAGUUUGCCUGGGCCCAAGACUUGGCUAUUCAACCUCUACUAAAAUUUACACACAGUAGCUUAUGAAGUGAACGAAGUAGUACAAUGGGAAGAAGUCUAAUAAAGCUAGAGAGAUACACUGCAUAUAGCAGAGUGGUCAAUCACAGGUCGAUUUGACAUAACCCCACAUGCUGUACUAUUCCAAAGCCUCGGUGAGUACGUACGCUGUGCUAACCUGUGAGCAUCCUCUCGUUCUCUUGGCUUGGAAGGCAGAAAAAGCCUUUUACUUGAGACAGUUGCUUCAAGCUCAUGAUGUUAUUAUAUAUCUAGGAUUGUAGCAAUAGCCCAUUCUGACUUGCACUCUUUAAGUAGAACCUCCAGAGAUUGGCAAUGAAGCACUUUUCUAGCCCCAAGUUGAAAGCCAGGAUUAUUGCUUCUCUUAUUGCGAUUGCCUUAUAUAUGUAAUAUGUUCGCAUCUUUCCACCCUUGGUACUGAUCAUAUUUGUACUCUUUUGUCUCAAAAUCACUUUUCCUAAAACAUCUUUCUUCAAGCUUCCUGUUUCCACCACUCUAGUUGUAACUAAACCAUCAACCUUAACCUUCAUUCGCAUCAGCUGCCGGAAUCGUUGAGGAUUCAAGGGCGAUGACACAACUCUGCAAUGCAAUGGUUCCUAUUUGCUCGCUCUGUAUGUUGGUGUUGCUGCUCCAUCUUUAACAAAUGUGAUUACUUUGAUUAAUACACACCCAAGGUGCAACCAUGGUUUGCUAUCGCUAUUGGGAAGAAGUACCAAACCAUGAAAUCCCUGUUAAGUGUUUAUAUGGAUCCAAGUAAAUCGGAGCAUGACAAGAAAUUUUUACAUAAAGACUUGAUGACAGAAGGUUUGCUUAGUGGUGACAGAAGGUUAUGUCAAGUUUGUUCAUAGCGAAUGUACAGAAUUCUAGCGGUUCCAUUAAAACAUGAUGUUGAGGAUGGUGCUGAUUUCUUUGAGCGUCAAUCCUGAAGAGCUUUAUCAUUGUAUGUAUACAGUAUUUUGUUUUCUUGGGGUGGGGGGAGAAAUAACCUUUUCCAUAUGCAGGGUGGCAUUUGAACCCUGCAUCUAAAGGAUGUCUAUCAUAAUAUACUAUUCCGUUUUGUUU